UACGAAGGGGGCUAGCGUUGCUCGGAAUCACUGGGCGUAAAGCGCACGUAGGCGGAUUGUUAAGUCAGGGGUGAAAUCCUGGAGCUCAACUCCAGAACUGCCUUUGAUACUGGCGAUCUUGAGUUCCGGGAGAGGUGAGUGGAACUGCGAGUGUAGAGGUGAAAUGCGUAGAUAUUGGGAGGAACACCGGUGGCGAAGGCGGCUCACUGGACCGGUACUGGACGCUGAGACGCGAAAGCCAGGGG
rnacentral:rRNA from 1 species